UACGAAGGGGGCUAGCGUUGCUCGGAAUCACUGGGCGUAAAGCGCACGUAGGCGGAUCUUUAAGUCAGAGGUGAAAUCCCAGGGCUCAACCUUGGAACUGCCUUUGAUACUGGGGAUCUCGAGUCCGGAAGAGGUGAGUGGAACUGCGAGUGUAGAGGUGAAAUUCGUAGAUAUUCGCAAGAACACCAGUGGCGAAGGCGGCUCACUGGUCCGGUACUGACGCUGAGGUGCGAAGGCGUGGGGAGCAAACAGG
rnacentral:rRNA from 1 species